GGACUACCCGGGUUUCUAAUCCUGUUUGCUCCCCACGCUUUCGCGCCUCAGCGUCAGAACCGGACCAGACAGCCGCCUUCGCCACUGGUGUUCUUGCGAAUAUCUACGAAUUUCACCUCUACACUCGCAGUUCCGCUGUCCUCUUCCGGUCUCAAGCCAACCAGUAUCGAAGGCAAUUCUGUGGUUGAGCCACAGGCUUUCACCCCCGACUUAAUCGGCCGCCUACGCGCCCUUUACGCCCAGUGAUUCCGAGCAACGCUAGCCCCCUUCGUAUUACCGCGGCGGCUGGCACC
rnacentral:misc_RNA from 1 species